AUGGCUGUCGUCAGCUCGUGUCGUGAGAUGUUGGGUUAAGUCCCGCAACGAGCGCAACCCACGUCUUUAGUUGCCAGCAUUCAGUUGGGCACUCUAGAGAGACCGCCGGUGAUAAACCGGAGGAAGGUGUGGAUGACGYCAAGUCAUCAUGCCCCUUACAUCCUGGGCUACACACGUACUACAAUGCUACGGACAAAGGGUUGCAAGCUCGCGAGAGUUAGCUAAUCCCAUAAACCGUGGCUCAGUUCAGAUCGUAGGCUGCAACUCGCCUACGUGAAGGAGGAAUCGCUAGUAAUCGCAGGUCAGCAUACUGCGGUGAAUACGUUCCCGGGCCUUGUACACACCGCCCGUCACACCAUGGAAGUUGGCCAUGCCCGAAGUCGUUACUCCAACCCUUGUGGAGGAGGACGCCGAAGGUGGGGCUGAUGACUGGGGUGAAGUCGUAACAAGGUAGCCGUACCGGAAGGUGCGGCUGGAUCACCUCCUAAC
rnacentral:rRNA from 1 species